rnacentral:lncRNA from 1 species
UGUGCACGUUGUUGAAACCUGGUUUGCCUAUUUUGUCUGGCCCUCUCAGUUAAGUUGAUUGUUCUGGAACGAGUUUCAGUAGCCUCUGUUACAGUACUGGUAUUCCGUGGUUCAGAAGAUGCACCAGCUUGGGCUGGGUUAGAGGAAGGUUCACGUGCCUCUGUUGUAGUGCUGGUAUUCUGUGGUCGAGAAAAUGCUCCAGCUUGGACUGGAUUAGGGGAAGGUUCACGUGCGGGAGAUGCGUCAGCAGCUCUGCUUGGUGAAUCAGCAGUUCCUGAUUGUGCUACCGGACUUUGGUCUGGUUCCACUGCAGCAUGUUCAGCCGUAGUAUCACCCUCAACCUCUGACACAUCAACAUCACUCUUCUCUGUCAGCAUUCCUGGAGAUGCUGCCCUGAAAACAUUCCCAGCUUGCUCACCAAUAUCCGAAGUAGGCUCCCUAUUAGUUUC